rnacentral:rRNA from 1 species
UUGAAAGGGAAACGAUUGAAGUCAGUCGUACCUACGAGUAAUCAACCUACUCGAGUGCGAUUUUGUGGGUAUGUUAGAGUUUAAACCUUCAUGCUUACAAAUUGGUGCUCUUUGGGCGUACUUUCUCGUAUGGUAGGUUAACAUCAAUUUCGAUCGUUAUAAUUGACUGGAGGAAUGUAGCUUCGACCUCGGUUGAAGUGUUAUAGCCUUUGGUAGAUGUAAUGAUUGGGAUUGAGGAUUGCAACGGAUACCCUCUGGGCUAUUCGUCUGAUGUCUGGAAGUUACCUUGGUGUCGAAAGCGUGCUUACGAUAUUAAGGUUGACGGCCAAUAGGUUAGAACGUGAUUAAAUUCGUUAAGGAUGUUGACGUA